rnacentral:rRNA from 1 species
GGGGGGGGGGGGGGGGGGGGGGGGGGGGGGGAGGGGGGAGGGGGGGGGGGGGAGGGGUGGGUCUGAGGGGUGGCGAGGGGGGGACGGGGGGGGGGGACGUGGGAAUGUACGUUUUCGUGGGGGGUAGGGUGGGGAGGGUUACGGUGAUGCGGCAUACGAGCUAUGGGUGAAAGGGGGGGAUGUGCGGGGCUGGCGCGCGUGAGUGAGCCGAUGUCGGGUUCGCUAAUGGGCGGGGUAAAGGCCCACUGAGGGGGCGAUCCGUAGAUGGUCUGAGAGGAUGAUCAGCCACACUGUAACUGCGACACGGUCCAGACUCCUACGGGAGGCAGCAGUGGGGAAUAUUGGACAAUGGGCGCAAGCCUGAUCCAGCCAUACCGCGUGGGUGAAGAAGGCCUUCGGGUUGUAAAGCCCUUUUGUUGGGAAAGAAAAGCAGCAGGUUAAUACCCCGCUGUUCUGACGGUACCCAAAGAAUAAGCACCGGCUAACUUCGUG